AAACAAAAAACCAAAAAAACA
rnacentral:sRNA from 1 species